ACUUAAAAUACGCUAUGGGAACAAUAUCAUUUUUUGUCAUUUAGCACUUGAAGCCAUUAACCUGUUUUGCCGUGUUCACACACUUUAGAUGCAUUAAUUUUACUUCGGUGCUUCGUAUAAACAGAGGUAAUUCUUUAAACUAUCGAAAACUUUAUGUUCUAUAACAUUGCUUCGUCAACCAAUUUAUGUAUCUUAAUUUUUCUCUGUUUUUUUUUAAGGCGUAUUUCUGCAGUUGCCUAAUUGUGUACGUUUUUCAAACAAAGACGUGAAGAAAAUAAAAGAGCAAAAGGUGUAUUUCUUCAGUCGAUUUAUUGUGUCCGUUUUUCAAUUAGUAAAAGAACAAAGAGCCAUACUAUAUAUCCUUGGAUCUAUUCAAUGAUGAGUUUAAUGAUAUGGUGGUUAUUGUGGCUGUUAUUUGGUCAAAGAUUCACAAUGAAAAUGGGUUGGAAUGAAGAGCUUGAGUUUUGUGAACAAGAAUGGAAGAAAUUUGUGGCGGACAAAAUUGAAAUCGAUUCGAAAUGCGACAAUGCUCGUACACGUUGUUGUGUUGAGGAGAAGAAAUAUCUUCUGGAGCGAUUUAAAAUGUUUAGUGAAAUAUGUCCACUAGAAGGGACAUGUGGAUGCAGCCCGGUUAUUUUGAACUAU